UGGGGAAUAUUGGACAAUGGGCGCAAGCCUGAUCCAGCCAUGCCGCGUGAGUGAUGAAGGCCUUCGGGUUGUAAAGCUCUUUUGGCGGGGACGAUGAUGACGGUAACCGUAGAAUAAGCCCCGGCUAACUUCGUGCCAGCAGCCGCGGUAAUACGAAGGGGGCUAGCGUUGCUCGGAAUCACUGGGCGUAAAGGGUGCGUAGGUGGAUUUUUAAGUCAGGGGUGAAAUCCUGGAGCUCAACUCCAGAACUGCCUUUGAUACUGGGAAUCUUGAGUUCGGGAGAGGUGAGUGGAACUGCGAGUGUAGAGGUGGAAUUCGUAGAUAUUCGCAAGAACACCAGUGGCGAAGGCGGCUCACUGGCCCGAUACUGACACUGAGGCACGAAAGCGUGGGGAGCAAA
rnacentral:rRNA from 1 species